ACUCCUGCGGGAGGCAGCAGUGGGGAAUAUUGGACAAUGGGCGCAAGCCUGAUCCAGCCAUGCCGCGUGAGUGAUGAAGGCCCUAGGGUUGUAAAGCUCUUUCACCGGUGAAGAUAAUGACGGUAACCGGAGAAGAAGCCCCGGCUAACUUCGUGCCAGCAGCCGCGGUAAUACGAAGGGGGCUAGCGUUGUUCGGAUUUACUGGGCGUAAAGCGCACGUAGGCGGACUAUUAAGUCAGGGGUGAAAUCCCGGGGCUCAACCCCGGAACUGCCUUUGAUACUGGUAGUCUUGAGUUCGAGAGAGGUGAGUGGAAUUCCGAGUGUAGAGGUGAAAUUCGUAGAUAUUCGGAGGAACACCAGUGGCGAAGGCGGCUCACUGGCUCGAUACUGACGCUGAGGUGCGAAAGCGUGGGGAGCAAACAGGAUUAGAUACCCUAGUAGUCCA
rnacentral:rRNA from 1 species